GUCCGUAGAUAUAAAUAAUUGUUUAGUUUUUUCAUUAAUUUUUAUUUGUUUUUACAAAGUACAGUAACUGGAGUGCCCCACAGAGUAAUUUAAACACCCUUUUGCAUAAAUAGUUUGGGAAUCUGACAGAAGAGUUUCAGUUUGCUCUCUGAAUCUCUCUCUUUCUCUCUCUCUUUCUCUUUCUCCCUCUCUCUCUCUCUCUGACACAAUUUUUCUCUCCUUUGUUUUCUCACUCGCAUUCUUUCCCUCUUUAGAAGAAACCCUGUUGUGGUUUUUGUCAUCAGUAAGAACCAAGAGAAAGCCUUAGAAAUGGAAAAUGGGAAAAAAUGAUUAUUGAAAAUAUAGAAUUUUUAUAUGUCAGAGAACAAGAAACCAAAGUUUGCACUUUAAGUCUCAAUUUUCAAAAAGUAAAAGUUUGUAUUGAUGGCACUACAGAAAAUAAAAAUGCUUCUUCAUAAAAACUCCAGAAAUUUGUUACACAAAAUGGAUACUAGAAGACUUUUUUUAAAUAGUAGCAUUUUGUCCUUAGCUAGUAUUGUUCCUUUCAACCAAAGACUCCAGAAUUAUUUUUUAAAAGGAAAGAAAAAAGAAAGGAAAUGGGAAAAAAUGACACUGCUUCACACCAAAGGUUUAAAAAACAUUUUCCAAAUGCACUAAGAAGGCCAUAAAAACUAGGAAGGAGUCAACAGAAUGCUAAAGAAAAUACUGUCCUAAAGACAUCACUUUCAAACCUGGGGGAGGGAGAAAGCAGCACUCUUGAACAGCUUAGAAUUUUGGAAAUUGAAGACCAUUUCUGUUGAUAUGUGCAGAAUUCUGACAUGAAAUUUUAAUUUGUUUUGAGUCUUUUUGUGAUAAAUAUGAUUCAAAAUAAUGAACACAAAAACUGUAUUGAGUUCCAAAACCAAAUGUCACCCCUGUCGUGUAUCCUCUAAUCUGAUGCCCAUGUCUGUGUCCUUGAACUGUUUGAAACAAGCUGACAUUCCAUCAGCUUGUAUCGAUUUUGUUAUUCAAUAGUUUAUCUAUGUCAAUAUUAAACAUAAUUCAAACCUAGUUACCUAUAAUUUAAAUUCCAUGGUAUUUUAAAUUUUAUUUGCAUGGGUGUUUAAAUGGUUCUGUUAUGAAUAUUGUCCCUGCAUAGUUCUGAACUGUCCUUUUAUAAAAAGUGAUAUUCUAGUUUCUUCACAAUGUAGUGAUUAUCAGCCUUACUAAUUACCUUGUAGCCUUUCUUAACAUGCACAUAAUGCACAUUUUCCAAUGGCUAGAAAAUGCAAAACAUAAGUGGAUAUCACUGCAUCUAUUUUCAUGUCUUUCUAAAAACAAGACUACUCAAUCUCUGGGAUACAUGAGAUAGUAAAAAAAUGAGGAUUAUUAAAGAAUAGCACAUAAGAAUUAUUUUCUUGAAUUUAAACUUAUUGCAGCCAGUCUCAGCAUGUAAAUAUAUAAUAAUGUUGGCUAG
rnacentral:lncRNA from 1 species